rnacentral:piRNA from 1 species
UCACAUUUUCUAUCUAUAUAA